rnacentral:other from 1 species
UAUUUCCUGGGGUGUUCGACAAUCCCGUUAUUUUGAACCUACAUUUUAUUUAAGGGAUUUCUAUUAUUUCAGCCCGGCUGUCAGGCCGCCGUUUGCAGCGGAAGGCAAAAAGGCUGAUGCGAUGUCCCACCUGGCGUAAGCUAGGCGUCAAAAUUGCGGGAAACGGCAUUUUGGGUUAUAC